rnacentral:rRNA from 1 species
AUUGAACGCUGGCGGCAGGCCUAACACAUGCAAGUCGAGCGAGCGGCGGACGGGUGAGUAAUGUAUGGGGACUGCCCGAUAGAGGGGGAUAACUACUGGAAACGGUAGCUAAUACCGCAUACUAUCGGAUAACCCAUAUGGGAUAAGCUAGUAGGUGAGGUAAUGGCUCACCUAGGCGACGAUCCCUAGCUGGUCUGAGAGGAUGAUCAGCCACACUGGGACUGAGACACGGCCCAGACUCCUACGGAGGCAGCAGUGAGGAAUGUUGCACAAUGGGCGCAAACCUGAUGCAGCCCUGCCGCGUGGAUUAAGAAGGCACUAGGGUUGUAGAGUACUUACAUUCGUGAGGCGUUACAGACAGAAGAAGCACCGGCUAACUCCGUGCCAGCAGCCGCGGUAAUAC